rnacentral:ncRNA from 1 species
CGAGGCAAGGUCUGUGGUUGAAAGUCGAUGCCAGACGCGGGCAAAGCGAUCCACAUAAACCGGUAAAAUUGCCGGCGAACAUGGCGCGUUCUAGACGUAAGUCCAACCGGAACAAUCAUCCGAGAGAAGCAGUAGUGGGGACGGCAGAAACCGUUAGGAGCGAACCUUCCAGUUGGCGAGUGUGGGGGCAAAAACCAGGUCAGCUUACCGGG